rnacentral:lncRNA from 1 species
CAACGACAGCCCAGAAGAGGAAGUGCAGCCAGACCCAGUGCCCCAGGAAGGUCAUCAAGAUGGAGUCUGAGGAGGGGAAGGAGGCAAGGUUGGCUCGGAGCUCCCCGGAGCAGCCCAGGCCCAGCACCUCCAAGGCAGUCUCACCACCCCACCUGGAUGGACCGCCUAGCCCCAGGAGCCCCGUCAUAGGAAGUGAGGUCUUCCUGCCC